GACGAACGCUGGCGGCGUGCUUAACACAUGCAAGUCGAACGAUGAAACCUAGCUUGCUAGGUCGAUUAGUGGCGAACGGGUGAGUAACACGUGACUAACCUGCCCCUUUCUCUGGGAUAACGCUCCGAAAGGAGUGCUAAUACCGGAUACUCACAUCGAGGCACAUGCCUUGGUGUGGAAAGUUUUUCGGAAAGGGAUGGAGUCGCGGCCUAUCAGCUUGUUGGUGAGGUAACGGCUCACCAAGGCGACGACGGGUAGCCGGCCUGAGAGGGCGCACGGCCACACAGGGACUGAGAAACGGCCCAGGCUCCUACGGGAGGCAGCAGUGGGGAAUAUUGCACAAUGGGCGCAAGCCUGAUGCAGCGACGCCGCGUGAGGGAUGAAGGUCUUCGGAUUGUAAACCUCUUUCAGUAGGGACGAAGCGAAAGUGACGGUACCUAAAGAAGAAGCACCGGCUAACUACGUGCCAGCCGCCGCAGUAA
rnacentral:rRNA from 1 species